CUGUCAUGCGCCAUAUAUCCUUGCCAACGCGCGUGGCGUUGGAGGUCCUGUCGUUCUGAUUACCCACUUCCAUCACUUUAUAGCAUGGAUUACGAAACCCAUAUGCAAUCGUCUUCACUUGAUUACCAACCAGUUCGUGGUGUAAUCGUCUUCACAAUUUUAUUAUUGCUGAAAACACCUCCUGAGAUGGAUCCUUUCGUGGUGUGCUGCUGUCUCAGCGCAAGGUCUACUGGUGUCACUCAUGGUAAAAUUAACACCGAUCUGUCCGCGGAGAUUCGGCGCCAUGCUCGCGAUGGUCGCCGUUAUGAGACCAGGUACUAGUACUGCUACUCUGGGUCUCUGUUCCAUGUUUGCAAUGAAAUAAUUCGACGGGUUGGUCGCCAGAUUAGAUUCUGUAAGUCUGCAGCAAUGCCGAAACAACUCUGAACCUGUUACAGUUUGCCCCCUGAACUUGGUGUUGCGUUCUUCAAGUCUAUAUAGAAAUAACCAAACAAGACAGACAUAGUCCGAACUAUUACAAAAUAUGCAAGUCAACCAGUAAAAUGCUCACUGGGAGCUAUCUCAUGUCUUAUGGGAAAUAAUACAUUCGAGAAUCUAGAACAUAACAAGGUACUGCAACAAAGAGAUUGGAUAGUCUUCUCUUAUGAAUAUAAAAUCGAAACCUGUGAGCAACUGAAGAUAAAAGCAGGCUUCAUUAUACUCUUAUACCUGAAAUGGCGUGUAAUCAAUAUAAAUAUCAAAGCCUUUGCAGUCAAUGUUCCACACACCCUAUCAAUGUACAGUUAAGCUGAGACUCUUACACUGUUGCAAGUUUACAAAACCUGCGUUGCGAAGAAGUAGUAAUUGAACUCGUUUCAAUUUUUUUUCUCGUUUCAAAAAAGAAGAAGUAGUAAUUGAACAUCUAACGGCCUUCAAGAACCGUGACACUCAUGUCAUUCAAGGACAGCACCCUAUUGUAGCUGCUUCUUCCAGGUUCGGCGUCCCUGCUUGCAAAAUACACAGGGUGCAGUGGUGUUGGGAGUGGUGUGGUUUUACUUUCUAGCAUGAGCACAACUGUUGACAUGAGUGGCCUACAGUUCGGAUUGUCUUGAGCGCACAAAAGUCCUAUGUGGAUGCAUCGUGAAACUUCAUCGAAGGAACAGUUCUCCUUAACAGAUGGGUCCACCAAAUCUUCUGUUUUCCCAUCUUUCCAUAAGUUCCAUGCCUGAAUAGAGAUUUUUUCCUGUGACCUAAUAUUCAGUUACUGGGUUGUCGUACUGGAUUGAGAGCAUCGCGAAAACUUACAUAGACUAUCAGAUUAGGAAAAUCCAUGACAAGAUGUGGUGAGCUGAUCUUUAAUCCACUCACAAUCUCCAAUAGUAGAACACCAAAGCUGUAGGUGUCAGACUUGACUGAAAAUAUACCUUCCAUUGCAUAUUCAGGGGACAUGUAACCACUGUACAAACGAGACCAAACGAGUCAACAGUACAUGAGGUCUGCAUAAUUUGAAUAAGUGCAAGAAGAUAAAUUCCCUCUGAAUAAUUUGAGAAUGCACGAGUUAUUACUUACUAUGUCCCUACAAUCCUGUUAGUAUUUGCAUGGUGCUGAUUACCACAGAAUAUUCUGGCCAUACCGAAAUCUGAUAUCUUAGGGCUCAUCUCUUUAUCCAAUAAAAUGUUGCUUGCUUUGAGAUCUCUAUGGAUUAUAGUUAAUCUUGAGUCCUGAUGGAGGUACAUAAUUCCUCUUGCUACCUCCUGGAUUAUCUUGAACCUUGUUGGCCACUGAAGCAUUGCUUUUCUUGCAGAGUCUGAUGGAACAAGGUAUAUCAGAAGGGUAUGUGCACAUUUAUUAUUUGGAAAAAUUUUGAAGUAGGAUGUACCGAAGAGGAAGUAAUCCAAGCUUUUGUUGGGUAAGUACUCAUAAACUAACAGCUUCUCAUCUUCAAGAAUACAGCAACCGAGCAGCUUAACUAGGUUCUUGUGCUGCAACUUCGAAAUCAAGACUACUUCAUUUCUAAACUCCUCGGUGCCUUGCCCAGAACCUUUGCUAAGUCUCUUGACGGCUACUUCCUUAGUGCCUUCCAACAUUCCCUACAAUUU
rnacentral:lncRNA from 1 species